UACGUAGGGGGCAAGCGUUGUCCGGAUUUAUUGGGCGUAAAGAGCGUGUAGGCGGUUAGGUAGGUCCGUUGUGAAAACUCGAGGCUCAACCUCGAGACGCCGAUGGAAACCAUCUGACUAGAGUCCGGAAGGGGAGAGUGGAAUUCCUGGUGUAGCGGUGAAAUGCGUAGAUAUCAGGAGGAACACCGGUGGUGUAGACGGCUUUCUGGACCAUAACUGACGCUGAGACACGAAAGCGUGGGUAGCAAACAGG
rnacentral:rRNA from 1 species